CUGGAGUUUCUGUCUCAUGUCAAGAGCCAUGAUAUGGGACAGAAAGAAAUAUGAGUUUAGAAAACAUCUUUGCUUUUCUUCAUAUCUAUCAUACUUUUCAUUGAAUAUAUCUAUCAUGCCUUUCAUUGAAUAUAUAUAUGCCUAUAUAUGUCUAUAUGAUUAAUGUUUAAGUUUUUCACAAUAAACAAUGAGUUUUUCCUGAAGUGACAUUUGAAGCUUCCAGGAAGAAGAUGGGGCCCCAUAACAACAACUCCACCUGGUUGAUAUGACGUCAUGAUACUGAUAGCACUACUACAAGACCUGUUUGGGGUACCAGCUGCACAGGACGAUCCCAAUUUGGUUAGCUGAAAUGGUGCACAUCUUAUACAACAUUUUGGCCAGACCUGCACAAAAUACUCAGAGACUAUUUGCAAUUUUAAAAGACAUUGAUCUUGAAAUUUAACCAUCAUUUUACUUUCACAGGAUCCCCCAGAAAGAACGUCACCCCCAUGACAGCUGGAAGUAAUUCUAGAGGACGACGUCCCCUCUCCCAGUAAAGUUUGCCCUUGGGUUUAGGGACAUCAUUUAGGUGUUGAUUAUAAUUAGUAUACGGUUGAGGGUUGUGGGAGGAAUUUUAUAAGCUCAGGGAUCAUUUUGAAAAAAAAAAGAGGGAUGAUGGGAUAAUAGAUUUGUAAUUGUGAGUUACUGUUUUUAGACAAAUAUAUUGGUAUCGAUUCUUGUAUAUUGAUACAAAAUUAAAUUAUAUUGACUAUUGUAUGCAUGCAUGUUUCUACCUCUGUUUAAAAUAUUUUUAUGUAUUGACAUAUAUUGUAUUGAUAUAUAUAUUGUAUAUAUUUACCAUAUUGCAGUGUACAUUUCUACCUCUGAUUAAGAUACUUAUAUAUUGUUUGUGUAUUGAUAUAUAUUUACCAUUCUGCAAUGUAUAUUUGUACAUUGUUUAUAUUUUGAAGUCAUUGUCCUCAUUUGUUUCACAGUCGUUUAUUGUCUUAGUCUUUAAGUUAGAUAGAUAUUGAGAAUUAUACAGAUUAAUAGUCAUCUAAGUUUGUCAUUUAUAAUUAGACUAAUCAGGUUCUUUAGAUAUAUAGAGAUUAUACUCAGUAUAGACAGAUAAUCUUCAACCUCUUCAAUCCUUCAACCUCAACCAAAGAGCUGUAGAAAAUGGCCUUUAAUCUAACUCAGAGUUUUGUGGUAGUGAGACACAAUUGCUCCUGGCAACACCACUCUAUUCCCGAGAGAAUGUUGAGCACCAAAGACACUCCACCUGGAGCCUUUCUUUUUGGCAGAACUGGCCUUUGGGCAAAUAAAUGCCCAUACCUCAACCACUGACAGAGAUACAGAGCGUGUAUCAAUGGAUAAAACAGGACUGUCAUAUCCUGCCAAGACAGGGUAAGAUAGUUUUGAAAAGCUGCUUGCCUUUGAAAAUGGUAUGUCAGUUAUGUUAGGCCUUAGCCAAAGUUGGUUGCUUCAACGCUGCAAACAUGACUUUGGGUGAUUGCCCAGGUAGCUAGUUGUCUCUGUGAUUUGUUGCAUAUUUUGGAAGUUGUUUUACUGAACUUCGUAAUUACCAGGUAACAUUAUUUCCCUUCUCAGAUCUUUGAUGGGGUUGAAGACUAUAUAAAUGCAGUUACUUUUCUCUCAUGACUUGGCCAAGUUAUUUAUUAUACAAGACCUAAGCUAGUUAGAAUAGGAUAUUUGUACUUAUUGUAUAUAAUUUCAUAGUAGGUUUAGAACUCUCUUACUUAAACAAAAGGGGGAGGUGUUGCGGGAGGUCCUUCCGCUCCUCCAGCCUAUAGCCACUGAGAUACCAGCCCAGUGGGGUGUGGUCUCUCUCCCUUUAAAAAAGCGGCUACUUCCCUUCUUGCUUUUUUGCUUCCUGCUCCGUUUCCGGCGACUAGGCUCCUUCCUGAAGAUCCCAAACAUUUAAGGACUACUCUGUCUGGUGGUUUCCUUCAUAGUAAGAGUUAUUUUUUUCUCCUUGGUGUUGGUAUGCACCUUUAAUCCCAGCGCUCAGGAGAGAGAGAGAAAGAGAGAGAGAGAGAGAGAGAGAGAGAGAGAGAGAGAGAGAGAGAGAGAGAGAGAGAGAGAGAGAGAGGACAGCCCAGGGAUACAGGAAAAAAAAAAAAAAACAUGUCUUGGAAAAAAGAAAGAAAGAAAGAAAAAAGACCUUUUCUGGCUUGUCCCCAGACUCUGCUUCCCUACUUGAAUUGAUGUCAUUGUUCCUAAGUUGUUCCUCAGUUCUUCAUUUCACUGGGCUUGAACCCUAGUCCUGUGUCUGGAUGCUAGGCAAGUGUUCUAUAUUUAGCUAGAUCCCUACACUAAGUUGGCCAGGCUAGACUUUCACUUGUGAUGCGAGGUAUUUGGAUUACAGAUGUGUAGGCUGGCCUCAAACUCCCGCUAUAGCUGACUCUCCUGACUAACCCUACUCAGGUCACAGGCACUCACCACCAGCCUGGCUUUAUGCCAUGCUUGGCAUGUUAUUCAGGGCCUCUAUCAACUGAGCACGUGCGUUCUGCCACCCCAACUCAGCAGCCUUCAGUGAAGGGGAGGGAAACAGACUGAUUUAAGUAAUGUACAGUUUGAUUAUAUUUUGCUGAGAGCUACAAAGGCUUGGCCAAUUCCUCCUCAGGUUAAGGCCACAAUGCCAUGUUCCUAUUAGAACAACUCAAGUCAACUGUCCCAAGGGGAAAGAGAAUGUCCCUUCUGCUGAGAAGAGUUCUGGCUGGACUGUUUUCCUUCACACGGAUGGUACAAUCUGACAGCUCACCAAGAGGCACUGGCCUCAUUCACAUUCCACAGUAGAAAUGGCCUUUGAAGCAUGGAGUCUCUACAGGCAUGUUUGAUAAUUCUGGAUCUUGAUUGAUUAAAAUGACACCCAAUUCAUAAUUCUUUUUUUUAUAAUUCUUUUUUAUUUUUAAGAUUUAUUAUAUAUACACGUGUACCUGCAGACCAGAAGAGGGCACCAGAUCUCAUUAUAGAUGGUUGUGAGCCACCAUGUGGGUGCUGGGAAUUGAACUCAGGUCUGCUGGGAGAGCGGAAGGGCAGCCAGUGCUCUUAACCUCUGAACCAAAUCUCCAACCCCCCGUUUCAUAAUUCUUAGUAGGAAGAAAAUAAGAUUAACUUGUAUAGUGAGAGCAUUCACUCAGAGAUCUGGAGGGCAGGGUGAAUAAUCUUUAACCAAAGAAAAACCAUUUUGAGUGACUUUUCUUCUGGUUAUGCCAUUGAAAUUGUAGCGCCAGCUAAAGCUAGUGAAAUUCGAGGAACAAUUUUUAAUCCUAACUUGAGCCUACCUAACAUUAACAGAAAUCCAACAUUUUCAGUCUUGAGUCGAGUCUUGUACAUCACAGUGACUGUCACAGGAGACAAGGACUCCUGAAAGUUAAUGGUGCCCAUCUGGGGACUGCUCUGAAUCAGAAGCCAACCUGGGCUUCGUAACAAGUAUCUGCCUACCUAAGGCUACCCAGCAAGAUCCUGUCCCAAGAAACAAAAUAUAAAUACACAAAAUUCCUAUGUAUCAUGUUUUAAAGAUUUUAUUAUUUUUAGUUAUGAGUGUGGAGCAUAUGUGUCUGCACGUAGGCGCAUGCUCGCGAGUGCAGGACCAGGGCUCGACCCCCAGUGCAGUGGAGUGCAAGGAGGCCUGGGGCACUGGAGCUGGUGUGACUGUGGUGUGUGUGUGCUGGGAUGAACUCAGGUCCCAACAUCUAUGUCAGGGUGACUCAGAGUCGCACAUGCUCCCAGUUCCAGGGAACACAAUGCCCUUUGGCCUCCUUAGGCACCAGGCUUAAGUGUGGUGCACUUAAACUAACAGACACACAAACAUAUACAUAAAGCCAGGCGGUGGUGGCGCACGCCUUUAAUCUCAGCACUCGGGAGGCAGAGGCAGGCGGAUCUCUGUGAGUUCGAGGCCAGCCUGGUCUACAAGAGCUAGUUCCAGGUCAGGCUCCAUAGCUACAGAGAAACCCUGUCUCAAAAAACAGGGAAAAAAAAAGCUAAAAUGUAUACAUAAAAUAAAAAUAAAUAAAUCUGAAAAAAAAAAAGACUGAGACUGGGAAA